AACAUUUCAUUAUUUCAUGUGCUAUUAUAUUUUAUAUUAUGAGCGUAAGCAAUAUUAUUAAUAUUUAGCAACUCUACUGUUGUUUGUUUACUAGUGGUAAACAUAUGUUCGCCAAUGGAUAUUGCUUAUUUAUACACAUGGGCUUGCGAGUGUUUUUUUUUAUUGUUUUGUUUUUUGUUUUGUUGAGGGAAAGCAUUUUGUAUUAAGUCUUGUUUGAUUGUUUAAAGACAUUUUAUCAUCGACUGUUGACUUUCUUGAUUAAGUUGGUGAUGACUUCUCAAGUGACGACAUUUUUAAGGAUGUACUUAUACCACCCCCUAAGAAACUUCGAAGCGAAAAGUAUUUGAAGAUGGUCCGACUGUGAAGAAAGCUUGUAUAGAAGCCGCGUACUAGAAUAAGACAAUUUUCCAGCCAAACUUCUACUUUGAUUUCGAAAAAGUUUGUAUUGUUUUGAUUUAUUUAUCUAUGUACUGGUUCAGUAAAAGACGUGAGUGUAAGUAGUUCCUUGAUUUGUGUUAUUUGUUCGUAGCCACAAAAAUUUUCAACUUUUUAUAAACAUUGUUUUUUUUAUCAGAUGAAUGGCGAUAAAAAACAAAUAACCAUUGGUAAAUGUGUAACUUGUAGCAAAAGAAUUCGUGGUUUUGAAAAUGUGUCUUCCAAUUUCAUUACGCAUCUUAAAUUUAAACAUGCGGACAUAUACAUUAAGUUUAAAAUUUUGUAGUCAGACUAUCAUGGCUCGCCCAAAAAUAAUUUUGACGACAGCGUUUUAGAUUUCAUUGUUGAUUCAGCAUCGCCUGUUUUUGUUGUGGACAGACCAUCCUUUGAACGUAUGUUUGAAGGCACUGGUAGAAGAAUUAUGUGCAGGCAAACUGCAAUGAAAAAAUUGGAAACACGUUAUGAAAACAUGCUGACCAAAAUAAAAGCAUAUAUACAAAUGCGGAUAUUUGGUCUGGAAACCACGAAAGCUUUUUUGGUUACACUUGCCAUUGGUUAACACAGGACUUCGAACGGAAAUCAGCGGCAUUGGCGUGCAAACGGCUUUUUGGAAAAUAUACCGCUGAUCGGAUCUAUGACACAAUACGUGAUAUAAAUAGUGACUUUGGCCUUAGUGGCAGAAGUAUGACUUGUUAAAAUAAGCUUCGCUCUACUUUAAUACGUCUCUGACAUCUUCAGCGCCUGUGGAGAGAUUGUUCUCUUUCCGUUCCCACGACAGUCGGGUCUACGAAAACCGGAACGGAUCCGGAUUUUUAUCCGGGCAAGGACUGUCAACUCGGCAGAGUAGUAGUAGUUAAAUAAUUACGGGGAGAGGACACGGGAUCUCGAAAAAGUAUGAAUGAUUGAUCAUGGUACACCACUUCAGCCCUGGAAGGAACGUUGGUUGUUCUCUGUCGUGAAGUAGCGUUGUAUGUGUUAAAGACUUUCGAUGAAACCAACGCUACGGGGAUUAUUCUGUUGUUGUUAUGGUAGCUAUCUUAACCAUUUGAGCUGCAAAAUUGCCAUAAAUUGUUAUUGAGAUUAU